GAAAGUACAAUGCAUAGCAGAAUGCUUUGUUACUUAUAAUACCUUUCGUAAGUGCAUAGGUAAUGGUCAUGAUUCAAGUGAAAGUUGUCUUUUGUAGGGUUCCAAUGAAAUUAUCCUCUUUGGUCUUCAUUAUGGAAGAGGCUGAAGUAUGAGCUAGGUCAAAUAGCUUUGGACAGAACUCUAAGCAGGGUUUCUUAUAUCCAUUUGUGAUUUUUGUUGUCUUGCAUAUAUACUUUGUGGCUAGCAUGAUAGAUCCACCUCUUGCCUUGUUGAUAAAGCUCAUUCUUUUCAACAUGAUACAAUAGCAUAUGUAUAUGUAGUCCUGCUCUGUUCAUUUUAUGUUUCUUUUUUAUAUGAAGCUGAAAGGAUUGCUUAUCAUUGUAUUGAUACAGAAGAUGCUUCUAAAGUGUUAAACGGAUAUUAGCUGGAUCACUUCAAAAAUCCUUGAACGAGUCUUCAAGUAAUAGAAACACCAAGGCAUAGUACUGAUUUUCUUUUUUGGCAGAAGGAAUUACAGAUAACCUAUAUGUUGAAAAUACAUAGCAAGAGUGCAAAAUGAUCAUUUGUCGUGCACAUGUUACCUUUGCAUCUGCCAUUCUAUCUGCAAUGCCAGCUUGAAAGAACACCCAAGCGAUACCCGGGACAACCUUGGCUGGCUGUUCCACCAUCAAGUCAGCAUGUGUUGGCCGGCUGUUCAAUCCUCCAUUCUCGGCUAGGAGAAAGCAAUUCUGUUAGGAAGUGACCUCCCUGUGAUGUGGACUCUGCAACAGGGCUGAUGGAUGCAUCCUAACACACUCCACAACCACAAAUUGCACAUGUUAAUGUGAUGCUGAAAUUAGCGCGCGAGUUAAGCAGGACAUCAUGAGGAGACAGAGAUCAUGAAAGUAUUGAUGUGGUGAUCUGGCCCAGUUGGCUCUCCAUUUAUGGUAGCAACCUCUCCCAGCAAAUCAUUCAAGUCACGCGGUGGGAUCUUAUUGGUGAGUAUGUGGCCGGGGAGCUGAUUGAUCAUGUGCCCUGUAGCUCUGUACUUCCCAUGGAAGUUUUGGUGUGGCAGACAUGGGCUCAUGGACUGACUGACCCUCUACAACAGCUGUGAAAAUGAAGUGUUGGAAGGUAGUAUAUCUCACAGAUAACCUUGUUUUCCUUGGACAUCACGUAUGUGAUGGGGAGGACCACGGCAUUCAUUCCGUCUGUCUAUAAGUGGAUAGAUCUAGGAGAAUACAUUUUUUUUUGUCACCACAUGCUAUCUGUGCUGGUCUGUAAUCUGUAUCUGUCGUAACUUUCAGGGAGGAAAAAGGAGCAGAAUACAUUUUAGUCACUCCAGACAUACAGUAUACUGUAUUUAUCACGAUAUAUCUUGUUGUAGCGGUUUGCUUUAUGUAGCAAUUACAAUAAAUUUACUUUCAGGGAGGAAAAGGAGAAGAAUACAUUUUUGUCA